GAAAUAGCGAUGAAUUGGAGUAGUAAUCUGCAUAUUUUGAUGUGAAGAGAGCUGACGGUUGGUGCAAGUCAGUCACAAAAUCUGGAUGAACUUACCAUGGAGCUUGGGUGUAUCCCCGUUUUCCGCGUUAAGGAAUUGAUAAGUUGAGUGGUCAAACACUAAUGUGGGUGGUACCGCGGGAGAAGCAUCUCUCGUCCCAUGG
rfam:Listeria monocytogenes EGD-e, complete genome